rnacentral:rRNA from 1 species
UACGUAGGUGGCAAGCGUUGUCCGGAUUUACUGGGCGUAAAGGGCGUGCAGGCGGUUUGUUAAGUGCAGGGUGAAAGCUCCCGGCUCAACUGGGAGAGGUCCUUGCAUACUGGCAGACUUGAGGGAGGCAGAGGAAAGUGGAAUUCCCGGUGUAGUGGUGAUAUGCGUAGAUAUCGGGAGGAACACCUGUGGCGAAGGCGGCUUUCUGGGCCUUACCUGACGCUGAGACGCGAAAGCCAGGGGAGCAAACGGG